AACUUUCAGCGACGGAUGUUUUGGCUCCCACAACGAUGAAGAACGCAGCGAAAUGCGAUACGUCUUGCGACUUGCAG
rnacentral:rRNA from 1 species